AAGGGAGGCCAGUGCCAGAGAUUGGUUGCCAUUGUUCUAGCAAACUAGUCCCCAGGAAUUCAAUUAAUCUGGAACUUCACAAUGAACAGAUGGCAGUGAAAUGCUACUUCUCUUCAGUAACAAAGUCCAGCUUUCCCUUUCCAAUUCUACCAAUGCUAUGAAGAGCAAUACAGAUUCCAAGGGUUUUCAAGUUGUUGGGAUCACCUUCAACUAGUGUCACUGCUUUGGUUUGUGAGAAGAUUCCUGCACAUUCAACAUGCACUUCAAGCAUUACAGUGCAUUUGGACGCAGCAUUUUACUUGAAUCGUGACUGAACAAGGAUAUAAGUCAUAGGAUAAAAAUUUGAAGGUAGAUGCAUGAACUGCUGCAAGGAAUCCUACAAAAUUGCCAAAAGGUGGCUGGAAGUUGUCGAUAUCAAUGAUGACUGCAAACCCAAAAAUCUAAGAACAGAAUCUACGGCAGUAUUAAUUUGGAUCCUGGCAUCUAUUGUAAGCAACAGAGAAAUGAAAGGAGGUUAAAGAAAGGC